rnacentral:rRNA from 1 species
UACGUAGGGUCCGAGCGUUGUCCGGAAUUACUGGGCGUAAAGAGCUCGUAGGUGGUUUGUCGCGUUGUUCGUGAAAACUCACAGCUUAACUGUGGGCGUGCGGGCGAUACGGGCAGACUUGAGUACUGCAGGGGAGACUGGAAUUCCUGGUGUAGCGGUGGAAUGCGUAGAUAUCCGGAAGAACACCGGAGGCGAAGGCGGCUGCUGGACCUGGUCUGACGCUGAGGCGCGAAAGCGUGGGGAGCGAACGG